AAGGAAAGUCAGCCUAGUUUCUCCAGACCCUACAAAGGGAAAAGGAGAAAGCGGGGGAACCAACAGUGGGGCGCAUUUCUAGGGAAACGCCAACUAGAAAGGGAUAACUCUCAAUCCUAGCCCGUCAGCUAACCUCGUCGGCAAUGAGAGGAGACUGA
rnacentral:sRNA from 2 species